AUAAAAGGAACGGCAGCUAAAUGCUUAGGCGCCCUGCCUAAACACCACCGUCAGCACAUCCUGUGAA
rnacentral:sRNA from 1 species